UACGUAGGGUGCAAGCGUUGUCCGGAAUUAUUGGGCGUAAAGAGCUCGUAGGCGGUCUGUCGCGUCUGCUGUGAAAACUCAGGGCUUAACCCUGAGCUUGCAGUGGGUACGGGCAGACUAGAGUGCGGUAGGGGAGACUGGAAUUCCUGGUGUAGCGGUGGAAUGCGCAGAUAUCAGGAGGAACACCGAUGGCGAAGGCAGAUCUCUGGGCCGUAACUGACGCUGGAGGAAGCGGAAAGCAUGGGGAGCGAACAGG
rnacentral:rRNA from 1 species